ensembl:snRNA U6 U6 spliceosomal RNA
GUGCUCGCUUUGGCAGCACAUAUACUAUAAUUGGAAUGAUACAGAGAAGAUUAGCUUGGCCCCUGUGCCAGGAUGACAUGCAAAUUUGUGAAGUGUUCCAUAUUUUU